CCUACGGGAGGCAGCAGUGGGGAAUCUUGCGCAAUGGGCGAAAGCCUGACGCAGCCAUGCCGCGUGAAUGAUGAAGGUCUUAGGAUUGUAAAAUUCUUUCACCGGGGACGAUAAUGACGGUACCCGGAGAAGAGGCCCCGGCUAACUUCGUGCCAGCAGCCGCGGUAAUACGAAGGGGGCUAGCGUUGCUCGGAAUUACUGGGCGUAAAGGGAGCGUAGGCGGAUAGUUUAGUCAGAGGUGAAAGCCCAGGGCUCAACCUUGGAAUUGCCUUUGAUACUGGCUAUCUUGAGUACGGAAGAGGUAUGUGGAACUCCGAGUGUAGAGGUGAAAUUCGUAGAUAUUCGGAAGAACACCAGUGGCGAAGGCGACAUACUGGUCCGUUACUGACGCUGAGGCUCGAAAGCGUGGGGAGCAAACAGGAUUAGAUACCCUGGUAGUCCACGCUGUAAACGAUGAGUGCUAGUUGUCGGCAUGCAUGCAUGUCGGUGACGCAGCUAACGCAUUAAGCACUCCGCCUGGGGAGUACGGUCGCAAGNUUAAAACUCAAAGGAAUUGACGG
rnacentral:rRNA from 1 species